rnacentral:rRNA from 1 species
UACGAAGGGUGCAAGCGUUACUCGGAAUUACCGGGCGUAAAGCGUGCGUAGACGGUUAUGUAAGUUAGGUGUGAAAGCCCCGGGCUCAACCUGGGAAUUGCAUUUAAGACUGCAUAGCUAGGGUGCGGAAGAGGGAAGCGGAAUUUCCGGUGUAGCGGUGAAAUGCGUAGAUAUCUGAAGGAACACCAGUGGCGAAAGCGGCUUCCUGGUCCAGCACCGACGUUCAGGCACGAAAGCGUGGGGAGCAAACAGG